rnacentral:rRNA from 1 species
UACAGAGGGGGCAAGCGUUGUUCGGAAUUACUGGGCGUAAAGGGCGCGUAGGCGGCCGGUUAAGUCGAACGUGAAAUCCCCGGGCUCAACCCGGGAACUGCGUCCGAUACUGGCAGGCUUGAAUCCGGGAGAGGGAUGCGGAAUUCCAGGUGUAGCGGUGAAAUGCGUAGAUAUCUGGAGGAACACCGGUGGCGAAAGCGGCAUCCUGGACCGGCAUUGACGCUGAGGCGCGAAAGCCAGGGGAGCAAACGGG